rnacentral:tRNA from 1 species
AGGGUUGUGGCUCAGUGGUAGAGUGCUCACCUAGAACAAGAGAGGCCCUGGGUUCGAUCCUCAGCACCACAU